CGUGCACACUCAGUAAAACCUGUAGCCGAAAGCUGAAAGGUUGUGAGCUCUGUCAGCCCUUGUCAGAUUAGUCGAGGCUCUACAAAUGUCCAAACCCAGCUUCCAAGAUGCUCUUUGCAACAACACUUAGAAAUGAGUUUACUGCCAACUCGGCCUGUUAACAAAUGAAAUGCCCUUGGACUACAGCAACAAUGUUGCUUAAAUCAAAACAGAUCUUGACUUCCUUACCUUAAUACUAGGAAGCAUGGGAGCUUUUGGUUUUGUUUUUGUUUUUUCUAAGGGAGUACUGGUUUGCGUGACAGCAGCAGGCCCUGCUCAGCCCCUCCUCCGUAGGGAAUUAACCGUCCCAUUCCAGCCCUGCCAUCAGAACAGUGAAAGGUGAAUGUUGUGCAGAACAGCUUGGGACCACGAACGAUGAUGUCAUUCCUCCCUUAGACCUUUAUUAUUGUGCAGAUUUACUUUGUCUGUGGAAAGGGGUGGAGCUACCCGGGACCGGGGGAGAAAGCACCUCUUAAGAAGCAAAGCAAGUGAAAGGGAAUUAUGUUCUGGCACUGGGGAGGGGAAAGCUGGGGAGGAAGAAUGAGAUAAAGAAAAGAUAUGCAUAAAAUGCCGCGUGGGCCUCACGCCUGAUUUUUCAAACUAGCUGAGCUCUAUACAGUUCUAUCUCACAUGCGCUGGCGUUAACCAGGGACCCCCUAGAGACGCAUCUCUGAGUCGACCCACAGGACGGACUCACGUUUCAACCAAAGUGCAGCUUUUCACCAGCGUGAAGUACUUUCCAGACACAGGCAUUCUUGGGAAAAAAGUGCACACUCAGUCAAGGAGCCAGAAAGGAGCAGACUCCAAACACUGAAAACACCACAUUCCGCAGUUCCAGCUCCCUCUCUGGAGUCCAGGGCAUGGCUGUUAUAUUACUAAGACUCUGAAAAGUCUUAGAUGAGAGACUGCUAACUCAAUGAGCUUGAGAAUGAAGAUGCUAUGAAGCUUGGGGAAAUGAUCACAUCCACCCAACACCCAGCAUUUUUGUACAGGUGGGAUCUGGUGACCUGAAUCUCAAGGGCAUUUUUAAUGGGCUUGUUCAUAUUUAAUGCAGGGAGUGCCUAGUGAAGGAUGAGUGACAUGCUCCUAGUAGAUACGUUAAUAUCCUGGGUCUUUUAAGAGGAUUAACUCCUCUUCUAACUGCAAACUUCCAACCCUGGGAAGCUACCUUUUUGAGUCACUGAUUGCCUGGUCCCUGGUUGUAAGAUGUAGCAUGACUUCCUUUACACUGUCCUCACCUACCCCAUCCUGGAACCCAAACACCCAGGCUGUCACUAGGGGUAACCCUGCAUCACCUCUGCCUCCUGCCUUUCAAUCACGUUUUCUAGUAGGAAGUGGGAUUUGCAUAUUGCAAGGGUAAGAGGAACUGGAAGGCGGAGUUUGAUUCCAGGGCUCUUUCAGAAAAUCAACUGUAAAACAUAUUCUUUCUGUGACUGAGUCUCUGAAUUCUAAUUCCUCUCCUUUCUUAAAAACUAUCUAUUCCCAGCAAUUUUCUUGGCCGGUAGGACACUGACAGUAGGUGGCAUAUCUUGUGACCAAGUUAAGGUCUGUGAAUUUAAAUCCUGAAUUUGCAACAGAAUGGAUGUGCAGUCCAAGAAGUCACUGGCCAACUUUCCAAGUCGUCUUGUCUUCCUCCACACAGUGGGGAAAUGAAGUGUUCAUUUUAAUCAGAAGAUUCUGGGUCAGUGGCCAUAAGGAAGAGGUAGCUUGGAGGAGGGCCUUAUUUAGCCCCCCAUUACCAUCAUCAGCCUCCCAACGUAACUACCCCAAACAGAAUGCAACCCAAGUAGAACACUGUGUGCUGUUCAAACAGGUCCCCACGCGGCUCCUCCCAACAGAGGCUGUCUCCAAGCUUCUGCUAUCUUGACAGCGUAGAGACACCACUGGUUCUAAUGUCUCUGUGUUCAUAUCCUCACGAUAAACAUCUUUCUGCCUUUUAAGAUUUUGUGUCAGUUUGGACAUAAGAGCAUGGAGGUGGGGAGCCCACACACACAGAAAGCAGACAUGAAACAAGCCGUUUUGCACAAGGGCCUCGUUUGCACAGAAGCGCUAGACCAGUGGUCGGCACCGUGAUCUUAGUUGAGCUAAGCAAUUUUUCCGGGCCUCAAUUCCUCAACCUGCAGAACGAGGGACUUGAAAGGGCUGACCUCAAGAGUCCUCAGCAAUGCUCAGAGCCUCGGGUUACUGCUUCAUCAGACAUCUCAAUCUGGAUUGCUUGUCAACACCUGCUACUGAUCCUUUAUCCCGGACCUCUUUUUGUCAUCUUUCACUGCUUUUCCGGAGGUCGUGAGAAACCCUUCCAGAGCAGGAUAAUUACAGACAAUGGAGCCUAGGGGCCACCGCCGUCAGGAGGGUCCUUUGGCUGUGCAGCGCUCCAUCACCGCACCACACGACCGGCACGCCGCCUGGGUGGAGACAGCCUGCAAAGCCGCACCCUCGGGCGGACGAUGGGCGAGGAGCAGCAGCACCCACUCAGGCUUAUCUCAAGGCUCACGACCUUCCUUCCUUUCCUCCUGCUCGCAGUGGAAACAAAGGGAAACGUUUCCGGAGGCAUGUUCUCGGCUCCUUUUCCCCCUCACAAAAGAGACCAUUCCGGAGAAGGGGAAGGGAGUGGACAACAAAGAAGCCCACAGGGGCCGGGCACCGCCCGCACGAGGGCUCCGGAGGCGCGCGGAGUGCUGCGGAGGGACGGCGGGGGGACGGCCACGCCCGGGGCAGCACCCUGCCGGCCCCCAGGGGGACAGCUAAUCAGGACCGCUUCCUUCGAAAGAGGAUUUAGGGCGAAGCAGAUGCCGCAGGGACGCCUCCAAAGGGCAGCAGGGAGUCCAGGCCUGACCUUUGAGAAAAUCCUAAAGGCUUCACGGCCGCGGGAAGUGGGCGAGCGAGGCACGUGCACGUCUCAGCCGGCGGAGAAACUGAGCGCCGCUGACCUCGGGCGCCGGGCCGCGGGGCGGGGAAUUUCGCCCGACGCCUCAGUGCGCGUGUGCCCAGGCGCCUGCGCACUGUGGGCACUCAGGGCACCGCCCUGGGAAGAAACGCCGACUGCAAAAAUAGAAAGCACUGAAGUGUAACCUGUUCAGUCAAAAACACAAUUUCAGGGACCGGCCUCGUGGACGAGUGGUUAAGUUCACGCGCCGCUGCGCCGGCCCAGGGUUCGGAUCCUGGGCCCAGACGUGGCACCGCUCGUCAGGCCACGUUGAGGCUGCGUCCCAUAUGCCAUAACUAGAAGGACCUGCAACUAAGAUACACAGCUAUGUACCAGGGGGGUUUGGGGAGAUAAAGCAGAAAAUAAAAAAAAAUACUAUUUCAAAACCUUAAAGUGGAUUAAUAUUUUAAGUAAGAGUCAAGGGUCUUUUAGUGAAUUCUUAUCUAAAACAUGAAAGUUUGGUAAGAUAGCCCAGUGGUGCUGAUCAAACUAUCAAAAGCAUCUUAAGAUAAUUUUUUUAAAAUUUUACUUUGAUCUUAAAAACCUACAGAGUACUUUGCUCAGGAGAAAUGGUUUAUGUAGUUGUUUUAGUAAAAUUAAACAACUCCAAAAAGGGGGCAGGGAUUGGACUCGUUCACCUAGAGGGAAUCAACGUGAAGUCAGUCAACAAACACGUCUGGGACAGGCUCACUGUAUAAUGAGUAUAAAAGUACUUCGGGAACUGUAAAGCUCUCCAUCAGGCGUUAAUAUUUCAGUUACUCUCACAGAACACAAAAAUUAGGAAAACAAGAAAGAAAAGGACACAGCCUGCGUAAGUACCGUCUCUCCAUCCGCACACUUCGUUCAAAACAGCAAGUCUGUAAGGGAAGGUGGUGCUCAGGCAUUUAGUUCAGGUGGGAAGUUGUCAAAAGAAGAUAUAUUUGGUCUGGUUCUAAAUAAAAUAAUCUGUAAAGUGAUCUUGAAAUGAUUAAUUCACACGUGUUCUUUAAAAUUACUUGAUUUUAGAGCUUUUACAAAGGCAAUAUCAGACAAGUUGCUGCUCUUUUUCCUGACCACAUUCCAACAGGGCACCUACCCGGAGGGCUGCGGAGACGUGCGCAAUUUAUAGACAGUGGAACUUGGUUUGCAAUAUCUGUUCUUGAGUUUGGAAAGUUCACAGAGAUUGAGGAGGUGGAUUUUAACAUCACUUUGGUUACCCCAAAAAUGUCAAAUUAGAUCAUCUGUUUGUUCAGACAUGCAGCUGAUAGGCCUUAGCUUACAGGAGCAGAAGACAGGCUUAAAGAAGCUGUCAGUUGACAGCGUUAUGCAGACCACUCCAACCAUCCUUCUCUUUUCCGUUUCUCCUUCCCCAAAGGAUGUGCCAAGUCCAAUAAUAAGUAAACGUUACCAAUAAUUUUUAAAAACUUAACACAAACCUGUUCUGUUUCAUGCUUUUAUUUACUGUCUUAUUGUGACAGCUUCUUCUUGUAAGUGAACUAAUCCGGGAAAACUAGAUCCCUUUUUGGUAACUAAACAGAUAAUGAAGCUGGGAUUAGUAAAGCUGUUCCUAAGUGGCUCUUAAUUUGCAAGCCCUAAACACGGAAGCAGACACACUUGGUAACUCAAAGCGUCAGAUUCAAUGUCAUUGGUUUCAAAGAUUGUGGAAUUCACAGACACAAGCAAUCAGCUGAGGGAAGGAAAGGAGAGAAUAAGCUAAAAAGAAGACGUUGAAAAACUUGGGUAGUCUAGAAGAGCAAUUACAAAGCUUUUCAGUUUGGAGUCCCUGCUUCAAAUGUGGCAAUCUCUGGUCUGGGAAAAACCCCCACAAGGAUGGAUAUCAAGGCUCAACAUGGUGAGUUUGUGUUUUGAUUUUUACAUUUUUUAAGAGUUACGCAACCCUUAGAAAGUUAAGAAGGUAGUCCUAGUCAUUAAGUAAUUUACGAAAACCAAAUAUUAAGAUUUUCUACAGUGGCGUUAAGAAUGAAUAGGAUUCAUUUUACAUGGUUAAGUUUAAUAAUUUGUAUUCCUGAAUAAGUGGAUUUCAACCUCAAAGAGAAAAAGUAGAUUAUUCCCACUAGAAGGCAAUCAGGAGAGAGGCUUUUCAAAUGUAGGUGCUUCGUUGAUCAAGUUCAAACAUAAGCUCCCUGGGUUUGUUUCCAGUUUUGUGGUUUUAUGGCUUUCAACACCCUAGCGGGAAAGUGGGAUCCUACUUAUAUGCACCCCCAACAUAUUCGCGUUCAUAACUCCAGGUAAAAGUCUGUCUCACUCUUUACAAACCAUUCAGAAAUGCGAAUUAGACCCUGGGCACUGGUCCGUGGUGUCCCUGGACUGACUGCAGGGACAGAGGGGAGAGGGCUGCGGCCUCCACGGGCCGGUGGCACACG